CAGCCGCCACGGUAAAACGUAGGUGGCAAGCGUUGUCCGGAAUUAUUGGGCGUAAAGGGCUCGCAGGCGGUUUCUUAAGUCUGAUGUGAGAGCCCCCGGCUCAACCGGGGAGGGUCAUUGGAAACUGGGAAACCUGAGUGCAGAAGAGGAGAGUGGAAUUCCACGUGUAGCGGUGAAAUGCGUAGAGAUGUGGGGGAACACCAGUGGCGAAGGCGACUCUCUGGUCUGUAACUGACGCUGAGGAGCGAAAGCGUGGGGAGCGAACAGGAUUAGAUACCCCCGUAGUCCCUGUCUCUUAUAC
rnacentral:rRNA from 1 species